rnacentral:rRNA from 1 species
CAGUAGCCGCGGGAAUACGUAGGGCGCAAGCGUUAUCCGGAAUUAUUGGGCGUAAAGAGCUCGUAGGCGGUUUGUCGCGUCUGCCGUGAAAGUCCGGGGCUCAACCCCGGAUCUGCGGUGGGUACGGGCAGACUAGAGUGAUGUAGGGGAGACUGGAAUUCCUGGUGUAGCGGUGAAAUGCGCAGAUAUCGGGAGGAACACCGAUGGCGAAGGCAGGUCUCUGGGCAUUAACUGACGCUGAGGAGCGAAAGCAUGGGGAGCGAACAGGAUUAGAUACCCCUGUAGUCCCUGUUUCUUAUAC